rnacentral:misc_RNA from 1 species
GUGGUGUUUGGAUCGUCCCUGCCGGCUGGCUCCGUGACCGUCCACCGAACGGUCGGCAGGCGAUCCGCGUCGGUCAAGCGAGGCGGUAUGGUUCCCUAGAGGCCGGUUCUUGUGCUGCCUACCCCUUCAGGGGAAGCGGGCCAGUUGAUGUAAGCCUCCAUCCGGCGCCCUCCGACGGGCGCAGGAGGACAACGUAGCACCCCCCGCGUUCCACCGAGCCUUAGCCGGUCGCGUGGCGCGCGGGGACGUGCGAUGCUCUCGGACCCAGCGAACGCCGUGGGCGAGGACUCACGUCCCGGUCCCGAUAGAAGCUCCCAUAUAAUGCUGACGGCCGCUCCCGUCCCCCGACCGCCCCGGCGGCGCGGGGGCGAGGCGCGGCGUCGCGGAGGAAUGCUACCU